AUGGCUGUGCAGACUUGAAUGGCUCUCUGUGUCCUGCUCUGAACUCAGGUGUUGGGUGCUGUAAGGGGACCUCAGCGAAGUUCUGAAGUUGAGACACAGGGUCACUGCCCACAAUUCAGAGGAGCAGGGAAGAGUAGAAUUUGCUGGAUCCUUCCUAGAAGAGUCUCUACAAAGAUGUGAUGCAGGAAACCUACUUGGACCUCACUGUUAUAGGCCACACUUGGGAAGACUAUCAUAUUGAAGGACAUUGUCAAAGUUUGAGAAGACAUGAAAGGUAAUCUUCAUGUGCACUCUGAUACGCAUAUGGCUCUGAGGAAAUUUUAAUAUGUUCUGGAAGCUCUAAAGAAAAGCAAGAGUGCCGGGCAGUAGUGGAGGACACCUUUAAUCCCAGCACUUGGGAGGAAGAAGCAACACAGGUAAACCUUAAACUUUAUGUUUCUUCUAAAAAGACAUGGUGAUUAAAAUGACGGAUUUCUGA
rnacentral:lncRNA from 1 species